AUGAAAAUAUGGACUGUAUUGGACCCUAUGAAAAAUUAUUUAGCAUGGUAUUUCAAUGAUUAUGGUUAAAUUGUGAGUUUUGAGUUUAGAGACUAAAUUGUAUAAAAGUUGGUAAUUUUGUAAAAGUGACGUGUAAGGGCUUAAUUGUGUAAAAUUGCUUAUUUAAGUGCUGAAAUGGUAUUAUUUAAAUGAAAUUAUUAUUUAGAUCAAAAAACACAACAAUCAGAUUUAAAUCGACGAAAAGCUAAAGUAUUGGAUUAGUUGUCGAUUCUAUUUUUGCAACUGUUGUAGCGAGGUAAGUUCAUAUAAUGGUAAACUUGUUAAUUUCCAUUUUAGAUAGAUGAUUGUUUAAGGUUAUUCUUUGUAUAACUUUUAUUGAAUACAAAUUUGUUAAUUAGUAAGUUGGAUUAAAUUGUAAUGUCAUUUCAAUUGAUGAAUAAUUGUGAAAAAUGUGAGUUUCAUGAAUGUUUAUAUUAGAAAAGGUAUAAUGGAAAGAAGUUAAAGGAAUUAAUAAGGAAUAUGUCCUGUUUGACCCUCGAGAAUACUUAGGAUACAAAUGACAUGCCAUUAGAGGUUAUAUGGAUUCGAGUGUAGGUCUUGGAUGUUCUACUGAUGGC
rnacentral:lncRNA from 1 species